CGGGACUGUGUGGAGGGUGAUAACGAGGAGAUGCUUCAGUAACCACUCCUCGCAGAAUCGGUCCACGCCAUGUGACCCGCUGGAUGCUGCUAUCACAGGGGACCACCAGUGCUGGUGAACUCCUGGGAGCCACGCUAUUCAAAUGUUCGACAAAUGUUUAUUGAGCACUUUUGUCUCAGGCUCUGGGCCAGGCGCGGAGAACAUGAUGCUAUUCCAUGCUCGGCUCUGUCUUCGGUUUUUAAAUGCUGUCUCUCUGAAAGUGGCACUGAUGCCUGAGGACAGAACAUCUUGACGUGUGAUCAUGAAGAUUCCUGGAAUGAAGAAGAGGAAAUCAAAGGUUCUGGGGAAACGGUGAGACUUUCUCUAGUUGGGGGAGGAAGGCCCAUCCAGAGAGAACAAGAGGUUGGACACUUGAAAACUUUCAAGGCCAAGGAAGUUCCAAGGCAAGGACCUAUCUAAAGAAAGGGGUCCCCACAGCACCUCCCAGCCCAUAAUAUCCUCCCAUCAGACACUCUCUCGGGAGCAUUGCUCUCACACACCAUGUUCGGAGGGACGUGAGGUGCAACUGGACCCCCCCAAGGUGCCCUGCAAGACAGCUUUGUCCCCUGGAGAGUGUGGAGUCCUCUCUAAUUUGAUCCUCCUCCUCGGUGGCACGGAAACUCUGGACAGGUGGAUGAGGAUGGAGUCCAGACUGUGGCCUUUGCUUUCCACGAGAAGGUGCGCUUCUCCCCGGGACCUGGCACACACCUGAAGUCCUCAGGCUGUCAGCUCCCAGCUCCCAAAGGAGGCAGAGCUGGGGCUCUGGGUGCCGAGAGACUGGGCCCACUUCUGCAACUUGGGAUGCGCUAAGUUCAGAUUGUCGGCUCAGCUGGGUAUCAAAUUAGAUGUAAAAUGCCGCUGUGGGCGGGCCUCCUGUUUAUUCUCCUUCUCCGUCCUGCCCUGCCGGGUGAGGGUGGCAUUCUGAGGAGUGAGAGGCAGCCGGCCCUCCACGAACACCCCGGGUGUCUCGCGGCUGAGGGAGCCUGAAGACCACUGGGGCGCCGCUCCACACCCUGCCUUCUUGCAAGGGUUCUGAGAUGCUGGGUUGCGCUCGGUGGAUUUAAUUUAAAAUUAAUGUGGUUCAUCCUACUUAGGAAGUGACGCAAGCAGAUGACUCAGUAUUUGUUUAAUAACGACAUCAUGUUCACUUUCAUGCCCAAAUUCCAGUGACGCUGAGCUUCCCUUGCUGAACGGCAGGACCUGAGCCCCCUUUUUAAAGUCUUCCCGCCGUUUCUGAGCAAACCCAGGAGGCUGUCCCCGUCCUGGCCGCUGGAAACGCACAGCACUCUCCACGGGCUUUCUCUGCAGUGAGCCAUCACUGGGGGAGUGCACCAAACACAUGCCCUUAAAGAAUGCCCCUGUCACCACGGCUGACAGUGCCGAGGCUGUCCCCAGGCUCUGAGCCACAGCUUGUCGCUGAGGCGCUAAGGCAGAGUUGCCUGUGUCCAGGCUCACAGUCUGUCACGCAGACGGCUCCUUUCGACUGUGGCUCUUAGCCCUCUCCUCGGAGGAAACUCAAGCCCAGUCCCAAGGCAGGUGGAGGCCAGAGGCCACGGCACCCCUUCCCUGUCACCCUGUUCCCUCUGCAGGGCCCCUCACACCCCAUUUCCAUCUCUCCCCCAUCAGGUGCACGAACCCUGGGCAUAGGCCCAGAAACCCGAAGAGCCUUUGCCCCUCUCACUAACUGAGGUGGGGCCUCGGCCCCUGCUGGCCCAGACACACACACGCCACACAGCACACACACACCACACACUGAUAUACACAGGAAAAGGAGCUCAAGACCACACAUCAAGGAGCUUUAAUGCCAAUGAUGACCCUGGAGGGAGAGUGUUCGGGUGUUCCUCACCUUUGUCUGCUGACGAACCCACUGGGCUUUAGUGUGGUCAUUUUAUCUUGUUAAUGCUUUUUAAAAAGUAUGUAUGAGUAUGCAUUUUACGUUUUAUUAUAUAAUGCUUUGUGUUUUUAAAACCCGCUUUAGAUAUUACUCUUUAGCUGAUAA